GACGAACGCUGGCGGCGUGCUUAACACAUGCAAGUCGAACGAUGAAGAAGAGCUUGCUCUUCGGAUUAGUGGCGAACGGGUGAGUAACACGUGACUAACCUGCCCCUUUCUCUGGGAUAACGCUCCGAAAGGAGUGCUAAUACCGGAUACUCACAUCGAGGCACAUGCCUUGAUGUGGAAAGUUUUUCGGAAAGGGAUGGAGUCGCGGCCUAUCAGCUUGUUGGUGAGGUAACGGCUCACCCAGGCGACGACGGGUAGCCGGCCUGAGAGGGCGAACGGCCACACUGGGACUGAGACACGGCCCAGACUCCUACGGGAGGCAGCAGCGGGGAAUAUUGCACAAUGGGCGAAAGCCUGAUGCAGCGACGCCGCGUGAGGGAUGAAGGUCUUCGGAUUGUAAACCUCUUUCAGUAGGGACGAAGCGAAAGUGACGGUACCUAAAGAAGAAGCACCGGCUAACUACGUGCCAGCCGCCGCCGUAA
rnacentral:rRNA from 1 species